GACGAACGCUGGCGGCGUGCCUAAUACAUGCAAGUCGAACGCACUCUCGUUUAGAUUGAAGGAGCUUGCUCCUGAUUGAUAAACAUUUGAGUGAGUGGCGGACGGGUGAGUAACACGUGGGUAACCUGCCCUAAAGUGGGGGAUAACAUUUGGAAACAGAUGCUAAUACCGCAUAAAACCUAAACACCGCAUGGUGUAGGGUUGAAAGAUGGUUUCGGCUAUCACUUUAGGAUGGACCCGCGGUGCAUUAGUUAGUUGGUGAGGUAAAGGCUCACCAAGACCGUGAUGCAUAGCCGACCUGAGAGGGUAAUCGGCCACACUGGGACUGAGACACGGCCCAGACUCCUACGGGAGGCAGCAGUAGGGAAUCUUCCACAAUGGACGAAAGUCAGAUGGAGCAACGCCGCGUGAGUGAAGAAGGUUUUCGGAUCGUAAAACUCUGUUGUUGGAGAAGAAUGUAUCUGAUAGUAACUGAUCA
rnacentral:rRNA from 1 species